rnacentral:rRNA from 1 species
GACGAACGCUGGCGGCGUGCUUAACACAUGCAAGUCGAACGGAAAGGCCCCCUUGUGGGGUACUUGAGUGGCGAACGGGUGAGUAACACGUGAGUAACCUACCCCUGACUUUGGGAUAACUUCAGGAAACUGGGGCUAAUACCGGAUAGGAGCUCCUGCUGCAUGGUGGGGGGUGGAAAGUUUCGGCGGUUGGGGAUGGACUCGCGGCUUGUCAGCUUGUUGGUGGGGUAGUGGCUCACCAAGGCAUUGACGGGUAGCCGGCCUAGCAAGGUGACCGGCCACAUUGGGACUAAGAUCAGGCCCAGACUCCUACGGGAGGCAGCAGUGGGGAGUAUUGCAAAAUGGGCGGAAGCCUGAUGCAGCAACGCCGCGUGCGGGAUGACGGCAUUCGGGUUGUAAACCGCUUUCGCCUGUGACGAAGCGUGAGUGACGGUAAUGGGUAAAGAAGCACCGGCUAACUACGUG